UAAUACAGAGGGUGCAAGCGUUAAUCGGAAUGACUGGGCGUAAAGGGCGCGUAGGCGGUAGAUUAAGCUGGAGGUGAAAAGCCUGGGCUCAACCUGGGACCAGCCUCCAGGACUGAUGUGCUAGAGUAGGGUAGAGGGAAGUGGAAUUUCCGGUGUAGCGGUGAAAUGCGUAGAUAUCGGAAAGAACACCAGUGGCGAAGGCGGCUUCCUGGACUCAUACUGACGCUGAGGCGCGAAAGCAUGGGAAGCAAACAGGAUUAGAUACCCUGGUAGUCCAUGCCGUAAACGAUGAUAACUAGAUGCUGGCAGGUCAAACCUGUAAGUGUCGAAGCAAACGCGAUAAGUUAUCCGCCUGGGGAGUACGGCCGCAAGGCUA
rnacentral:rRNA from 1 species